rnacentral:rRNA from 1 species
CCUACGGGUGGCUGCAGUCGAGAAUCAUUCACAAUGGGGGAAACCCUGAUGGUGCGACGCCGCGUGGGGGAAUGAAGGUCUUCGGAUUGUAAACCCCUGUCAUGUGGGAGCAAAUUAAAAAGAUAGUACCACAAGAGGAAGAGACGGCUAACUCUGUGCCAGCAGCCGCGGUAAUACAGAGGUCUCAAGCGUUGUUCGGAAUAACUGGGCGUAAAGCGUGCUUAGGCUGUUUCGUAAGUCGUGUGUGAAAGGCGCGGGCUCAACCCGCGGACGGCACAUGAUACUGCGAGACUAGAGUAAAGGAGAGGGAACCGGAAUUCUCGGUGUAGCAGUGAAAUGCGUAGAUAUCGAGAGGAACACUCGUGGCGAAGGCGGGUUCCUGGACAUUAACUGACGCUGAGGCACGAAGGCCAGGGGAGCGAAAAGGAUUAGAUACCCUUGUAGUC